rnacentral:rRNA from 1 species
UACGAAGGGUGCAAGCGUUAAUCGGAAUACUGGGCGUAAAGCGUGCGCAGGCGGUGAUGUAAGACAGAUGUGAAAUCCCCGGGCUCAACCUGGGAACUGCAUUUGUGACUGCAUCGCUGGAGUGCGGCAGAGGGGGAUGGAAUUCCGCGUGUAGCAGUGAAAUGCGUAGAUAUGCGGAGGAACACCGAUGGCGAAGGCAAUCCCCUGGGCCUGCACUGACGCUCAUGCACGAAAGCGUGGGGAGCAAACAGG